GAUGAACGCUGGCGGCGUGCCUAAUACAUGCAAGUCGAGCGAACAGACGAGGAGCUUGCUCCUCUGACGUUAGCGGCGGACGGGUGAGUAACACGUGGAUAACCUACCUAUAAGACUGGGAUAACUUCGGGAAACCGGAGCUAAUACCGGAUAAUAUAUUGAACCGCAUGGUUCAAUAGUGAAAGACGGUUUUGCUGUCACUUAUAGAUGGAUCCGCGCCGCAUUAGCUAGUUGGUAAGGUAACGGCUUACCAAGGCAACGAUGCGUAGCCGACCUGAGAGGGUGAUCAGCCACACUGGAACUGAGACACGGUCCAGACUCCUACGGGAGGCAGCAGUGGGGAAUCUUCCGCAAUGGGCGAAAGCCUGACGGAGCAACACCGCGUGGGUGAUGAAGGUCUUCGGAUCGUAAAACUCUGUUAUUAGGGAAGAACAAAUGUGUAAGUAACUAUGCACGUCUUGACGGUACCUAAUCAGAAAGCCACGGCUAACUACGUG
rnacentral:rRNA from 1 species